rfam:Oryza barthii chromosome 1, whole genome shotgun sequence.
AAAAAGACAAACUCUAGUUUCCGUGUCCAACGUUUAACCGUCCGUCUUAUUUAAAAAAAUUAUGAAAAAAAUUAAAAAGAUAAGCCACGCAUAAAGUAUUAAUUAUGAAAAUACUAAUUAUAAAAAAAUUCAUAUAAGACGGACAGUCAAACGUUGGCAUGAAAAACCACAGUUUACCUUUUU